rnacentral:ribozyme from 1 species
UGCCCAGCAUCGCUUAUCCCUACCUCCUCGCGGUACAUGGGGUACGAGCAACCUAAGGGAAGAUCGGGUAACCAAUCCCGGUGAGAACUUUGGUCAUAUGCUGACAGGGAAUG